GCGGCCGUUGCUGAAUUGGCAUAAGCGGGCGUUUUAGGGGCGUCUGGGGUAAUCCCCCGUGUGGGUUCGAGUCCCACCGGCCGCA
rnacentral:tRNA from 1 species